UCUUAUCUGAUUUAGGAUCAAUUUAUUGGUUACACUCCCCUAUCACCAGUGAUUCUUUGUCGUAAGCUGACAUUUUGAAAAAGGGCAAGAACAUUAAAGAUAAAGGGAAACUAUAAACAAAAGAGAUUAUCAACAAAAAUAGAUUUCAGACGUCAACAAAGCCUAAAUGGUCAGACAUCUUGGUUUUCAUGAUCAUCAUUCAACAGGUCAAUACUGAACAGAAAACUUAAAGUUGAUAUUUUUCUAUAUAGU